AGUGGCGGACGGGUGAGUAACGCGUAAGAAUCUAACUUCAGGACGGGGACAACAGUUGGAAACGACUGCUAAUACCCGAUGUGCCGCAAGGUGAAACCUGAUUGGCCUGGAGAAGAGCUUGCGUCUGAUUAGCUAGUUGGUGGGGUAAAGGCCUACCAAGGCGACGAUCAGUAGCUGGUCUGAGAGGAUGAGCAGCCACACUGGGACUGAGACACGGCCCAGACUCCUACGGGAGGCAGCAGUGGGGAAUUUUCCGCAAUGGGCGAAAGCCUGACGGAGCAACGCCGCGUGAGGGAGGAAGGUCUUUGGAUUGUAAACCUCUUUUCUCAAGGAAGAAGUUCUGACGGUACUUGAGGAAUCAGCCUCGGCUAACUCCGUGCCAGCAGCCGCGGUAAUACGGGGGAGGCAAGCGUUAUCCGGAAUUAUUGGGCGUAAAGCGUCCGCAGGUGGUCAGCCAAGUCUGCCGUCAAAUCAGGUUGCUUAACGACCUAAAGGCGGUGGAAACUGGCAGACUAGAGAGCAGUAGGGGUAGCAGGAAUUCCCAGUGUAGCGGUGAAAUGCGUAGAGAUUGGGAAGAACAUCGGUGGCGAAAGCGUGCUACUGGGCUGUAUCUGACACUCAGGGACGAAAGCUAGGGGAGCGAAAGGGAUUAGAUACCCCUGUAGUCCUAGCCGUAAACGAUGGAUACUAGGCGUGGCUU
rnacentral:rRNA from 1 species